AUACGGAGGGGGCAAGCGUUAUUCAGAAUUAUUGGGCGUAAAGGGCUCGUAGGCGGCCUAGCAAGUCAGUGGUGAAAUCCCUCGGCUCAACCGAGGAACUGCCUCUGAAACUGCAAGGCUAGAGGCCGGGAGAGGGUGGUGGAAUUCCCAGUGUAGCGGUGAAAUGCGUAGAUAUUGGGAGGAACACCAGUGGCGAAGGCGGCCACCUGGACCGGUUCUGACGCUGAGGAGCGAAAGCGUGGGGAGCAAACAGGAUUAGAAACCCCAGUAGUCC
rnacentral:rRNA from 1 species